AUUGAACGCUGGCGGCAGGCCUAACACAUGCAAGUCGAGCGGAUGAAGGGAACUUGCUCCUGGAUUCAGCGGCGGACGGGUGAGUAAUGCCUAGGAAUCUGCCUGGUAGUGGGGGAUAACGUCCGGAAACGGGCGCUAAUACCGCAUACGUCCUGAUGGAGAAAGUGGGGGAUCUUCGGACCUCACGCUAUCAGAGGAGCCUAGGUCGGAUUAGCUAGUUGGUGGGGUAAAGGCCUACCAAGGCGACGAUCCGUAACUGGUCUGAGAGGAUGAUCAGUCACACUGGAACUGAGACACGGUCAAGACUCCUACGGGAGGCAGCAGUGGGGAAUAGUGGACAAUAGGCGAAAGCCUUAUACAGCCAUGCCGCGUGUGUGAAGAAGGUCUUCGGAUUGUAAAGAACUUUUAGUUGGGAGGAAGGGCAGUAAGUUAAUACCUUGCUGUUUUGACGUUAACAACAGAAUAAGCACCGGCUAACUUCGUG
rnacentral:rRNA from 1 species